rnacentral:rRNA from 1 species
AGAGUUUGAUCCUGGCUCAGGACGAACGCUGGCGGCGUGCUUAACACAUGCAAGUCGAGGGGCAGCAUUGGAGUAGCAAUACUUCAGAUGGCGACCGGCGCACGGGCGAGUAACACGUAUCCAACCUGCCGCUUACUCGGGGAUAGCCUUUCGAAAGAAAGAUUAAUACCCGAUGGUAUAAAGAGUUCGCAUGUUCUCUUUAUUAAAGAAUUUCGGUAAGCGAUGGGGAUGCGUUCCAUUAGAUUGUUGGCGGGGUAACGGCCCACCAAGUCUACGAUGGAUAGGGGUUCUGAGAGGAAGGUCCCCCACAUUGGAACUGAGACACGGUCCAAACUCCUACGGGAGGCAGCAGUGAGGAAUAUUGGUCAAUGGACGAGAGUCUGAACCAGCCAAGUAGCGUGAAGGAUGACUGCCCUAUGGGUUGUAAACUUCUUUUAUAAGGGAAUAAAGUGAGGGACGUGUCCCUUUUUGUAUGUACCUUAUGAAUAAGGAUCGGCUAACUCCGUGCCAGCAGCCGCGGUAA